AAGACGCUAUGGCUAUGAUGAAAUAGGCUAUGAUAUCUAGAUAAAACCAGAGAGAAUACGAGUUCUGCCAACAUACAGAAGUUGUGUUCUCAACAUCUUUCAUAAAUGUUGCAAGGUGCGUGUUGGUUCUUCUAGAUAGUGUAUUUUUGGAGGGUCUGUCAUGGAUACGACAACAUUUUUGGAGAAUCUUAGCAUAGUAGCUUAAUUGAUUGUUUUUUAUGUUGUGAAUUUACAUAACCGAGCACAACUAGUUUGUGAGCAAGGCAUGGUUGUUUUUCUUGUGUUUGUUGGUCAAGUGAUUGAUUGUUGGACUAGAUGAAGUAUGUUUAUUAGAGUGCUUUAACUUUGAAUAGCCACCAUGGAAUGGAUGGAA
rnacentral:lncRNA from 1 species